rnacentral:tRNA from 1 species
GGGAUUGUAGCUCAGUGGUAGAGCAUUUGCCUUGCAUGUGUGAGGCACUGGGUUCAAUUCCCAGCACCA